AACGAACGCUGGCAGCGUGGAUUAGGCAUGCAAGUCGAACGAGAUCGGCGAUGUAGCAAUACAGCGCCGUGAGAGUGGCGGAAGGGCGAGUAAGGCAUGGGUAAUCUGCCCUUGAGCUGGGGAUAACUCCGCGAAAGUGGAGCUAAUACCGAAUGUGGCCCGAGAAGGCAUCUUCUCGACGCUAAAGGUGGGGACCGCAAGGCCUACCGCUCGAGGAUGAACCCGUGUGCCAUCAGCUUGUUGGCGAGGUAACGGCUCACCAAGGCUUACGGCUAGCUGGUCUGAGAGGACGACCAGCCGCACUGGGACUGAGACACUGCCCAGACUCCUACGGGUGGCUG
rnacentral:rRNA from 1 species